rnacentral:lncRNA from 13 species
GGUUGCACAUUUAUCACGGUCCCUUAGCCGUGAGUGCACAAUUAUUCCCCUACUAGAAACAACAUUGAGUAAACUUUUUGAAAACAUAAUCGAAAGGAGGGGGAAAAGGGCUGUACCUUGCUCUCUAUUUUUAUUUGAUUCUAGCUAUAUCACAUUAAUCAUCUUAGGACCUUCCAUCGAAGAGGUACUGACGAGCAAACUCCGAAUAUCAAACCAAUAUCCAAACUGAAAACAAAUGUACUGCGGCGUUAGCUGGGGAGGGCUCAUUAGGACGAAUGAAUGAACCGAAUCCGUUUGUCCCCUUUUUUUGAUUUAUUGUUUAUUGAAUCAAAAAUAAACACACAAUUAGACAUAAAUGAGUUCAAGAAGAUAAACAACAAAUAAUAUGUUUAUUCCCACUCAACUCCAGCUGUCCGACAUUCGUCAUACAUUUUGGGCACCAGGCGUCCGUAUAGCCUCUCCAGAAAACAACACGCACUCAAUUUAGAUAUUCAGGAUUGAGUUCAUGGAAGUGAUAUCUGCACUUGUUUUUAAAACACACACCUCUAUGGAUCCUUUCGAUUUCGAUACCCGGAAACAAGGAUCAUAUGUCAUCAUAGUUGUCGGGUUGCAUGUGAAAAUCAUGUCCAGCUCCUACGUUUGGAUUCCAUAAUAAUUUAUUCGGACCCUUAAUCGAAAUAAGUCUUAUAGAGAGAAUUAAUCGUAUUACCGGUCGGAUUGUUGAUCACCUGAGUUGAGGAAUCUAUAGAGAAUUAUUCUACUAGUCCGGACAGACAGGUAGAGGACGAUGGAAGACGGAGGUAGCUCCCCGCCUGAUCUGAUCAAGGACCAUGGAGAACCCAGUCAUGUUCUCACUCCCCUAGCCCCUGGCAGAGGAGUGCUGUUCCCUUCAUCGCUCCUUCCUCCCUGCUCUACCCUCCUCCCUCCAGUCAUCCCCCCUUCACAGGACGACCUGUGGCAGCUACCUGGAAGACUACGUGAGUCAAACACACACACACACUUGUUGGCUAACAGCUCCGUGUAUGUAUGUAAAGUGGGGAGAACAAGUAUUUGAUACACUGCCGAUUUUGCAGGUUUUCCUACUUACAAAGCAUGUAAAGGUCUGUAAUUUUUUUAUCUUAGGUACACUUCAACUGUGAGAGACGGAAUCUAAAACAAAAAUCCAGAAAAUCACAUUGUAUGAUUUUUAAGUU